UACGUAGGGGGCGAGCGUUGUCCGGAUUUACUGGGCGUAAAGGGCGCGUAGGCGGUCAGCACAAGUCAGUUGUGAAAUCUCCGAGCUUAACUCGGAAAGGUCAACUGAUACUGUGCGACUAGAGUGCGGAAGGGGCAACUGGAAUUCUUGGUGUAGCGGUGAAAUGCGUAGAUAUCAAGAGGAACACCUGCGGCGAAGGCGGGUUGCUGGGCUGACACUGACGCUGAGGCGCGAAAGCUAGGGGAGCGAACGGG
rnacentral:rRNA from 1 species